rnacentral:rRNA from 1 species
CCUACGGGGAGCUGCAGUGGGGAAUAUUGGACAAUGGGCGAAAGCCUGAUCCAGCCAUGCCGCGUGUGUGAAGAAGGCCUUCGGGUUGUAAAGCACUUUCAGUGGGGAAGAAAGCCUUGGGGCUAAUACCCUCGAGGAAGGACAUCACCCACAGAAGAAGCACCGGCUAACUCCGUGCCAGCAGCCGCGGUAAUACGGAGGGUGCGAGCGUUAAUCGGAAUUACUGGGCGUAAAGCGCGCGUAGGCGGUCUGAUAAGCCGGUUGUGAAAGCCCCGGGCUCAACCUGGGAACGGCAUCCGGAACUGUCAGGCUAGAGUGCAGGAGAGGAAGGGAGAAUUCCCGGUGUAGCGGUGAAAUGCGUAGAGAUCGGGAGGAAUACCAGUGGCGAAGGCGGCCUUCUGGACUGACACUGACGCUGAGGUGCGAAAGCGUGGGUAGCAAACAGGAUUAGAUACCCGGGUAGUC